rnacentral:ncRNA from 1 species
CCUUUGGAGUAUUAUAUCAAAUGUUAGUAGUUCUACGGAACAAGGACAGAUACAAUGAAAAAGGAA